CCAAAUUGUUGCUCUCGUUUUAGAGAGUAUUAGGGCAGUGGAGUAAGAGAGCAUUGUUCCAAAUUGCUGCUCACGUUCUUGGUUCACAAACACGUUCUUGGUUCACAAACACAUAAACAAACACAUUGGGUGGUUGAAGCACAUCAGAGAGCUGCUAUUUGUGAAGAUUCUUCAUAGCUUUAUAUGGUUCAGGUACAGAUGCUAUGUUGUAUGUACUUUUAAUUAAAUGUUGGCAAGUAAUUAUGGAGAAAUAUAGUGUAGAAGUUAAUUAAGAUGCCAUAAUUGAAAGUAAUUAUUAGGUAAUGAUUAUAUUGUAAUUAUUAUAAUAAUUAAGGGAUUAAGGAUAUGUUUCAUUGUAUAGUUUUUGAGGAAAAGAAUUACUGACUUCUACAGCUACAAAGUCCCGAUUUUUACGGUACUAGAUUGGACUUUCAGUGAUUAAGUAAUGAUUAGCCCAUAAUUUAUAAAUAAAGUAAUGAUGAUUCAAUAAUUAGAAUGGUUUAUAAUGAGAUUGGGUGGAUUAAGGCAUUGUCAUGCAUUCUACAACUGCACUGCUGCGGCAUUCAUGUUCUGCGUUUGCUAAUUUGUACAGAUUUUUAGUAAUUUGAUCGGGGGUUAGACUUUGAUUUUGAUUUGUUCUAAAAUUAUGAAAAUAUUUCACCUAGACUAAUUAGGACGUGUUAUUCAAUAUUUUAAAUAGAUUGAGGCCAUUGGAGGCCGUUUGGUUGGUGUUCUAGGCGUUGCAAGGUUGGGGAACUUCCCGUUAGCGAGGUAAGUGAGACUUUAAACUUUGAUGCUUGCUUUUUCAAAACCUGUUUUGAAAAAUAUUUUGUCUGUCUGGUCCAUGUGUUAGGACGAGCUUGCGCUUGGCAGAAUCGGUGGUUUUUGACCGGCCGCAUAUAUAUAUUAUUUUGUAAAAAGCUAAAACUAUUUAAUAAGUGAUUUAUGAUAUGGUGUGAUGUGGCGUAGCCUCGUGCUAUGGCAUUGGGGCGUUAGAAUUUAUUUCUUCUCUACCGUAAUAUAUUUGGAGCAUUGUGUAUGCCGCCGUGAUAAAUUUGGGGCAUUGUGUAUGCCGCCGUAAUAUAUUGGGGCAUUGUGUAUGCCGCUGUGAUAGAUUUGGGGCAUUGUGUAUGAUGUCGUGGACUCGUUAGAGUGUUUGGUUAAUUUCCUACACUGCCAUUAAUGACAAGUCCUUAGUGUAGAUUGAGUUGAGAUAUAUAUAAUGUUGUUGUUGAAUAAUUAUUUGGGCCUUAUAGAGUAAUUAUAUGGUGAAAGAAUUUCAGUGCUCGUUGUGUGUUUGUAUUUUCUAACACUUGUUCCAGGGGUAUUUAAAGUGGCGGGACAAGGAUCUUACUGGGUUAUAUUUACGUAUAACUCACUCCUUACCUGCAUGUCUAUGCAGAUACUAUUGGUGAAGACGGAGCUAGUAACUGACAAGUUCGCUAGAGUUGAUUCAGUAAUUGAGGUGAGCCGUCGCAUUGUUCGUGGAGGCUGCCAAAAGAGUCUUUAUUAUUUAUUCACAUGAUGUCUUUCGCAAUUCUCUUAGAUGCUCCAUGGUCUAGUGUAGGAUUUGGGUUAGAGUUUCAGUAUUAUAUUUCGAGAUAUUAAUUGUUCGUAAUGGUUAUCAGAUUAUGUGGAUACUUAUUUAAUUAAUCAAAUAUUGUAAAUCAAUGGCUAAGGUAUGAAAGUAUGAUUCGCCUAGCGGGUGGUAUUAGUUGGGUGCCAGUCACGUCUAAGAGGUAGUUUGGAACGUAACAGUUCAAGAAUCAUAUCCUUUACAUUUAGUAUGUCCAAGAUCUUUAAGGCAUGUCUACAUAGUAUACUCAUAAACUCAAACAGUUUGCAGCUGCAAGAAACUCCAG
rnacentral:lncRNA from 1 species